UCCGUGUUAACCACGGCAGUCUCUUUAGAGUGCCCAACUGAAUGCUGGCAACUAAAGACAAGGGUUGCGCUCGUUGCGGGACUUAACCCAACAUGUCACCACACGAGCUGACGACAGCCAUGCAGCACCUGUCUCUCUGCUAUAUUGCUAUAGAAGCCGUAUCUCUACGGUUGUCAGAGGAUGUCAAAUCCAGGUAAGGUUCUUCGCGUUGCUUCGAAUUAAACCACAUGAUCCACCGCUUGUGCGGGCCCCCGUCAAUUCCUUUGAGUUUUAGUCUUGCGACCGUACUUCCCAGGCGGGGUACUUAUUGCGUUAGCUCCGGCACGGCGGGGGUCAAGACCCACCAUGCCUAGUACCCAUCGUUUACGGCGUGGACUAC
rnacentral:misc_RNA from 1 species